GAUGAAGAACGUAGCGAAAUGCGAUAAGUAAUGUGAAUUGCAGAAUUCAGUGAAUCAUCGAAUCUUUGAACGCACAUUGCGCCCCUUGGUAUUCCGAGGGGCAUGCCUGUUCGAGCGUCAUUAUAACCCCUCAAGCUCAGCUUGGUGUUGGGGCCUGCCGCACGGGCAGCCCUUAAAAUCAGUGGCGGUGCCAUCUGGCUCUAAGCGUAGUAAUUCUUCUCGCUAUAGAGUCCCGGUGGAUGCUUCCCAUUAACCCCCAAUUUUCUAUGGUUGACCUCGGAUCAGGUAGGGAUACCCGCUGAACUUAAGCAUAUCAAUAAGCGGAGGA
rnacentral:misc_RNA from 1 species